GUUUUAUACCAAAGAUGCCAAAAAUGGCUUCAGAAUUAUAUUCAGCUUUCAAUUAGUCACAAAUCAUCCAUUGUCUGGGUCACAUCAAAAGCAUGUAAGUACUAUAGAAUUUCUCUUCUUUCUUGAUGUAGUUUCCAGUUGCAUUUUCCUGGAGCCUUCCUUGAAGUUUAAUACUGUGCUGGAUGCUGGAGUGCUACAAAUAACCCUAAAGCCUGAACAGAAAUUGCUCAUAUUAUUAAUAGUAAGAUAAAAUAAGUCUGCAUUCUCCUGUAUUAAAAAGAGAAAAUUAAGCAAAGUGAAUAAAAAAGAAAACCAAAAGCAUUUUAUUUUGUAAGAUUGGGAGUUAUAUAUUUGGAACAGCUCUAAAGAUUACUUUCUUUUCCAUUGCUAUAAAUCAAAAAAAUGUAACUGAGAUGCCAUCUCUAGUGAUGAAAGGUAUUUUGUUGUUGUUUUUUUUACAAGAGAUAUGUACCCUUCAGUUCAGGGGAAAAAGUCCAUUUCCAAAUUGCUUUUAACAACAAUCCAGUUGUCAUAUUUAUGCUUCUAUUUUAGGAACAUAGCUCUCUUUUAUAGACAUUAAACACAGUUUACUAGUGGAAUUUUUCAUUUAUUAUAACUGUUUCAUGUAGUGUCUUUCAUGUAAAAAUUAUAAAAGGGAUUUACUGUUGGAUUUAGAUGAUGUUGGGGUUUGGUUUUUUUGCCCUUUGUUCUUUUGUAUUUUAUUUCUUUGGAGAACUCUUUUUUCCCCCCUUUCAGGAAAUUUCACAUAAUCUUUUCCAUUCGUCAUCAGCCAGGUUGCUGCUUACCAGAGUAACUGCCAAGCUUUCAACUCCUUGUCAUCAAUGGGCUGUGAAUGACAGACAGCAUUAAUGUUGGCAAACUCCCACUCUCCUUUUCGGCUUUCCCAAAUGUAAUUAAACUGCACUAAUACAGCACAAACGGAAAGCUGCAGCUUUAUUUUACUCACCCUAAUAACAUAACAAAUCACAGAAGCACACAAUGGAGUCAAAUAAACCCAUCAUGGCACGGAAAUUCAGAGGAGACAGCUGGAUAAAGGACAGAAAAGAUGUAACAUACAGUUUGAAUGACACACAACUUACCCACCAGAACAAGAUGGCAUUAUCCUGAUCACGGAGGAAGUCCUGAGCUUUUGGUUUAAAGACUGGGGGUGUCAGAGGAUAGCCAAGAGUGAGGAAGGAGAAAAGAGUCCUCACUUCACCUGCAGAGGAUGACGGAGGCUUGUAGAAUGCACACUUAUCACUGAACAUUUCUGGGAUAGAUAACUUACGAGCAAAUUAAUUUUUAUAUGUUUCUCAGGACCGAGAUGAGUGAAAUGAAGUUACUGGCCUGCAGAAAUGCAAUGGAAUUUGCCCAUAAAGCUGUCCCCCCUUGCUUCAGUGCUCUAGGAUGGGAAGCAAGUGCUCAUAAGGAGGCUAAGAACUGACUGCCAUGAGCACUGUAAAUGCAGCUCUGUGGCCAGCAUACAUGCUGGAAAAGGGAUGGUAAUCUCAUUUUUCAAGCUAUCAAAAAUAGUACAGUUGGCUUAUAAGACAAAGUAAGUUUACAGUAAUGCAAAUAAAUAGUUUGAAUAAACACAGACAAACAAACAACAAAAAAAAUAAAUAAAUAAAGAUU